GAUUAGCUCAGCGGUAGAGCAGUGGACUGUUAAUCCAUUGGUCGCAAGUUCGAAUCUUGCAU
rnacentral:tRNA from 1 species